UUAUGGCUCAGGAUGAACGCUGGCGGCGUGCCUAACACAUGCAAGUCGAACGGGGUGUCUGAUCUUCGGACUGGACACUUAGUGGCGGACGGGUGAGUAACGCGUGGGUAACCUGCCUCAUACAGGGGGAUAGCAGUUGGAAACGACUGAUAAUACCGCAUAAGCGCACAGUACCGCAUGGUACAGUGUGAAAAAACUCCGGUGGUAUGAGAUGGACCCGCGUCUGAUUAGCUUGUUGGCGGGGUAACGGCCCACCAAGGCGACGAUCAGUAGCCGGCCUGAGAGGGUGAACGGCCACAUUGGGACUGAGACACGGCCCAAACUCCUACGGGAGGCAGCAGUGGGGAAUAUUGCACAAUGGGGGAAACCCUGAUGCAAGCGACGCCGCGUGAAGGAUGAAGUAUUUCGGUAUGUAAACUUCUAUCAGCAGGGAAGAUGAUGACGGUACCUGACUAAGAAGCCCCGGCUAAAUACGUGCCAGCCGCCGC
rnacentral:rRNA from 1 species